UGCAUGGUGGGUUAGUGGUUAGCAUUGUUCCCUUACAGCAGGAAAGUCCUGGGUUCAAAUCCCAGUCUGGCCUCUUGCAU